AGACAAAAAGUAGAAAAAUCCACCCUAGUCGGUCCCCAGGACUCAAAUCCAGAGCCAGCCAUGGCAGAGCACGCACAGGGCUCCCGAGCCCUUCUCAUCUGCCUCUGCCUGUGCCUGUGCCUCCUCCUAUCAUCCUCGGAGCACCUGGCGAUGAGCAUGGACCUCGACGACGACGACUUCUUCGACGACAGCUUCUACGACGAGGUGGCACCGGCACGGCGCCUAUAUGAUGAACGAGGCCUCAACGUUCUGAACAGCAACACUUCCUCCAACAGGUCCGGUGCGGCCUUCUGCAGGCUGCUGUCGCUGCAGAUACUGGACCUCUCCAACAACCAGCUCACCGGGGAGCUACCGGACUGCUGGUGGGAGAUGC
rnacentral:lncRNA from 1 species